GCAAGAUGAAGACCUCAAAGAGGUCCAAGAACCUAUUGAAAGUGACUGCUCAUGGAGCAGAAACUCAAAGAGAAGUGAAAGCAAGAUGAAGACCUCAAAGAGGUCCAAAAACCUAUUGGAAGUAACUGCUCAUGGAGCAGAAACUCAAAGAGAAGCGAAAGCAAGAUGAAGACCUCAAAGAGGUCCAAAAACCUAUUGGAAGUGACUGCUCAUGGAGCAGAAACUCGAAGAGAAACGAAAGCAAGAUGAAGACCUCAAAGAGGUCCAAAAACCUAUUGGAAGUGACUGCUCAUGGAGCAGAAACUCAAA